AGUGAACGCUGGCGGUAGGCCUAACACAUGCAAGUCGAACGGCAGCACAGUAAUAGCUUGCUCUUACGGGUGGCGAGUGGCGGACGGGUGAGGAAUACAUCGGAAUCUACUUUUUCUUGGGUGAUAACGUAGGCAAACUUACGCUAAUACCGCAUACGACCUACGUGUGAAAGCAGCGGAUCUUCGGACCUUGCGCGAUUGAAUGAGCCGAUGUCGGAUUAGCUAGUUGGCGGGGUAAAGGCCCACCAAGGCGACGAUCCGUAGCUGGUCUGAGAGGAUGAUCAGCCACACUGGAACUGAGACACGGUCCAGACUCCUACGGGAGGCAGCAGUGGGGAAUAUUGGACAAUGGGCGAAAGCCUGAUCCAGCCAUACCGCGUGGGUGAAGAAGGCCUUCGGGUUGUAAAGCACUUUUGUUGGGAAAGAAAAGCAGCAGGUUAAUACCCCGCUGUUCUGACGGUACCAAAAGAAUAAGCACCGGCUAACUUCGUG
rnacentral:rRNA from 1 species